rnacentral:lncRNA from 1 species
CUUUACAGAACACAGAAUUUGAGCAAUUUUUGAAUAUUUAAAAGUCCUUUUCACCUAAUCAUAAAUUUAGAAUUUUGUUUAAGUGAUCUAUAAGGUGAUAAGAUGAAUAGUUUAAACUUAACUCAAAGUUUCUCACUCUAAUCAUAAGUAUAAUAUUAAUCAAUUAAGAAUGGAGAGAGUGAAUUUGUCUGUUUGACAAAAGAAGCAGACACAGCUUCAAGAGGUGAAGCUUGGUGCCAGAAUAUUGCCCAUCUUGAAUCCUUUUUGAAGAUAGAGAGAUCUAAAACACAAGACU